rnacentral:rRNA from 1 species
AUUGAACGCUGGCGGCAGGCUUAACACAUGCAAGUCGAGCGGUAACAGAGAGAAGCUUGCUUCUCUGCUGACGAGCGGCGGACGGGUGAGUAAUGCCUAGGAAUCUGCCUAGUAGUGGGGGAUAACUUGCCGAAAGGUAAGCUAAUACCGCAUACGUCCUACGGGAGAAAGGAGGGGACCUUCGGGCCUUUCGCUAUUAGAUGAGCCUAGGUCGGAUUAGUUAGUUGGUGAGGUAAUGGCUCACCAAGACCGCGAUCCGUAACUGGUCUGAGAGGAUGAUCAGUCACACUGGAACUGAGACACGGUCCAGACUCCUACGGGAGGCAGCAGUGGGGAAUAUUGGACAAUGGGGGGAUCCCUGAUCCUGCCAUGCCGCGUGUGUGAAGAAGGUCUUAGGAUUGUAAAGCACUUUAAGUUGGGAGGAAGAGCAGUUAACUAAUAUUUGACUGUUUUGACGUUACCGACAGAAUAAGCACCGGCUAACUUCGUG